rnacentral:rRNA from 1 species
GCGGCAUGCCUUACACAUGCAAGUCGAACGGCAGCGGGGGUAGCUUGCUACCUGCCGGCGAGUGGCGAACGGGUGAGUAAUACAUCGGAACGUGCCCUGUAGUGGGGGAUAACUAGUCGAAAGACUAGCUAAUACCGCAUACGACCUGAGGGUGAAAGUGGGGGACCGCAAGGCCUCAUGCUAUAGGAACGGCCGAUGUCUGAUUAGCUAGUUGGUGGGGUAAAGGCCCACCAAGGGCACCAUUAGUAGCUGGUCUGAGAGGACGAUCAGCCACACUGGGACUGAGACACGGCCCAGACUCCUACCGGAGGCAACAAUGGGGAAUUUUGGACAAUGGGGGCAACCCUGAUCCAGCAAUGCCCCGUGUGUGAAGAAGGCCUUCGGGUUGUAAAGCACUUUUGUCCCGAAAGAAAUCCCACUUGUUAAUACCUGGUGUUGAUGACGGUACCGGAAGAAUAAGGACCGGCUAACUACGUGCCAGCAGCCGCGGUAAUACGUAGGGUCCAAGCGUUAAUCGGAAUUACUGGGCGUAAAGCGUGCGCAGGCGGUUGUGCAAGACCGAUGUGAAAUCCCCGGGCUUAACCUGGGAAUUGCAUUGGUGACUGCACGGCUAGAGUGUGUCAGAGGGAGGUAGAAUUCCACGUGUAGCAGUGAAAUGCGUAGAGAUGUGGAGGAAUACCGAUGGCGAAAGCAGCCUCCUGGGAUAACACUGACGCUCAUGCACGAAAGCGUGGGGAGCAAACAGGAUUAGAUACCCUGGUAGUCCACGCCCUAAACGAUGUCAACUAGUUGUUGGGGAUUCAUUUCCUUAGUAACGUAGCUAACGCGUGAAGUUGACCGCCUGGGGAGUACGGUCGCAAGAUUAAAACUCAAAGGAAUUGACGGGGACCCGCACAAGCGGUGGAUGAUGUGGAUUAAUUCGAUGCAACGCGAAAAACCUUACCUACCCUUGACAUGCCACUAACGAAGCAGAGAUGCAUUAGGUGCUCGAAAGAGAAAGUGGACACAGGUGCUGCAUGGCUGUCGUCAGCUCGUGUCGUGAGAUGUUGGGUUAAGUCCCGCAACGAGCGCAACCCUUGUCUCUAGUUGCUACGAAAGGGCACUCUAGAGAGACUGCCGGUGACAAACCGGAGGAAGGUGGGGAUGACGUCAAGUCCUCAUGGCCCUUAUGGGUAGGGCUUCACACGUCAUACAAUGGUGCAUACAGAGGGUUGCCAAGCCGCGAGGUGGAGCUAAUCCCAGAAAAUGCAUCGUAGUCCGGAUCGUAGUCUGCAACUCGACUACGUGAAGCUGGAAUCGCUAGUAAUCGCGGAUCAGCAUGCCGCGGUGAAUACGUUCCCGGGUCUUGUACACACCGCCCGUCACACCAUGGGAGUGGGCUUUACCAGAAGUAGUUAGCCUAACCGCAAGGAGGGCGAUUACCACG